rnacentral:rRNA from 1 species
AACGAACGCUGGCGGCAGGCCUAACACAUGCAAGUCGAACGCACCGCAAGGUGAGUGGCGCACGGGUGAGUAACACGUGGGAAUGUACCCUUUGGUUCGGAAUAACGUUUGGAAACGAACGCUAAUACCGGAUGAGCCCUGUGGGGGAAAGAUUUAUCGCCAAAGGAGCAGCCCGCGUCUGAUUAGCUAGUUGGUGGGGUAAAGGCCUACCAAGGCGACGAUCAGUAGCUGGUCUGAGAGGAUGAUCAGCCACACUGGGACUGAGACACGGCCCAGACUCCUACGGGAGGCAGCAGUGGGGAAUAUUGGACAAUGGGCGGAAGCCUGAUCCAGCCAUGCCGCGUGAGUGAUGAAGGCCUUCGGGUUGUAAAGCUCUUUCGCACGCGACGAUGAUGACGGUAGCGUGAGAAGAAGCCCGGCUAACUUCGUGCCAGCAGCCGCGGU